CCUACGGGAGGCAGCAGUGGGGAAUAUUGGGCAAUGGAGGCAACUCUGACCCAGCAACGCCGCGUGAGUGAUGAAGGUCUUCGGAUUGUAAAACUCUUUAAGUGGGGACGAAGAAAGUGACUGUACCCACAGAAUAAGCCUCGGCUAACUACGUGCCAGCAGCCGCGGUAAUACGUAGGAGGCAAGCGUUAUCCGGAAUGACUGGGCGUAAAGGGUGCGUAGGUGGUUUGACAAGUUAGUAGCGUAAUUCCGGGGCUCAACUUCGGAACUACUACUAAAACUGUUGGGCUUGAGUGCAGGAGAGGUGAAUGGAAUUCCUAGUGUAGCGGUGGAAUGCGUAGAUAUUAGGAGGAACACCAGCGGCGAAAGCGAUUCACUGGACUGUAACUGACACUGAGGCACGAAAGCGUGGGGAGCAAACAGGAUUAGAUACCCCUGUAGUC
rnacentral:rRNA from 1 species